AUGCAGGAAUUGCUUUCUAGUAUCCAGGCCCUGGGCUAUGUGGCUAUGGCUCCCAAGCCUGGCCCCUAUGUGAAAGAAUUGAAUGAUGCUGCCAUGUUUUAUACAAACCGAGUCCUCAAGGAGAACAAAGAUGUGGAUAAGAAGCAUGUAGACUGGGUCAAAGCUUACUUGAGUAUAUGGACAGAGCUGCAGGCCUACAUUAAGGAGUUCUAUACCACCGGACUGGCCGGGAGCAAAACGGAACCUGUGGCAAAAGAACUGAGGGGAUUGCCAUCUGGACCCUCUGCUGGACCAGGUCCUCCUCCUCCCCCACCAGGCCCACCUCCUCCUCCAGUCUCCACCAGUUUAGGCUCAGAUGACUUAGCUUCCCGCUCAGCACUGUUUGUGCAGAUUAAUCAGGGGGAGAGGAUCAGAUAUAUGAUAUAUAUAUCAUAUAUCUGAAACAUAUAUCUGAUGACAUGAAGACUCACAAGAACCCUGCCCUAAAGGCUCAGAGUGGUCCAGUACGCAGCGGCCCCAAGCCAUUCUCUGCACCGAAACCCCAAACCAGCCCCUCACCCAAACCAGCUACAAAGAAGGAACCAGCUCUACUUGAACUGGAGGGCAAGAAAUGGAGAGUGGGAAAUCAGGAGAAUGUUUCCAACCUGGUGAUUGAUGACACAGAACUGAAACAGGUGGCUUACAUAUACAAGUGUGUCAAUACAACAUUGCAAAUCAAGGGCAAAAUUAACUCCAUUACAGUAGAUAACUGUAAGAAACUUGGUCUGGUAUUCGAUGACGUCCUGGGCAUUGUGGAGAUAAUCAAUAGUAGGGAUGUCAAAGUUCAGGUCAUGGGUAAAGUGCCAACCAUUUCCAUCAACAAAACAGAUGGCUGCCAUGCUUACCUGAGUAAGAAUUCCCUGGAUUGUGAAAUAGUGCCAAAUCUUCAGAGAUGAACGUCCUCAUUCCUAUAGAAGAUGGAGACUUUAAUGAGUUUCCAGUCCCUGAGCAGUUUAAGACCCUAUGGAAUGGGCAGAAGUUGGUCACCACAGUGACAGAAAUUGCUGGAUAAGUGAAGUGCCACUGGAUUCUUUGCCCUCCCUUCACACCAUGGGAUAAAUCUGUAUCAAGACGGUUCUUUUCUAGAUUUUCCUCUACCUUUCUGCUCUUAAACUGCUUCUCUGCUGAGAAGCACAGCUACCUGCCUUCACUGAAAUAUACCUGAGGCUGAGAUUUGGGGUUAGGGUAGCAGGUCAGUUGAUCUUCUGCAGAAUGGUGCAGCUUUUCCAUAUCAGCUCAACCACACUGCCAGUCCAUUCUUAAGGAACUACAGACCAGAACCGAUGCAUUUUAGCUUUCAGCUUUUGGGGGCAAUUCUACCAACAGUCCUUUGGGAGACUAAAACAGUCCCAGGAAUUAACAGAUCAGAAUGUUCACACUAACCUUUUUCUAAUAAUGAGCAUGAAGGUAGCAGGAGUUGGUAUGAUUCCAGAUGGUUCCUCUAACCAAACUCAUUUUUCGGUGUUGAUAAGCAAGGCAAGCGUUGCACUGGACCAAGGGCUGAGGCUUGGCCAUCUAGCAUUCCAAGCAAAAUUGUUUCCCAUAAGCAUUCCUCUUAUUCUGCAUUCCACCCUGGGUCUGCCUCCGCCAUGAGAUAGGAGGUUCUCUUGUACCAGCUGCUGUAGCAGUGCCCUUUAUCCAGGGCAGUUAAAGGAGUCUUGGACCCCUUCUUUCU